UACAGAGGGUGCAAGCGUUGUUCGGAAUUAUUGGGCGUAAAGGGCGCGUAGGCGGUGCGGUAAGUCUGCGGUGAAAUCUCCCGGCUCAACUGGGAGGCUGCCGUGGAAACUGCCGUGCUUGAGUGUGGGAGAGGUGAGUGGAAUUCCCGGUGUAGCGGUGAAAUGCGUAGAUAUCAGGAGGAACACCAAUAGCGAAGGCAGCUCGCUGGGACGUUACUGACACUGAGGCGCGAAAGCGUGGGGAGCGAACAGG
rnacentral:rRNA from 1 species